rnacentral:misc_RNA from 1 species
UCCGGAGGGUGCAAGCGUUAUUCGGAAUUACUGGGCGUAAAGCGCACGCAGGCGGUCGGGCAAGUCGGAUGUGAAAUCCCCGGGCUCCACCUGGGAACUGCAUCCGAAACUGGCAGCCUAGAGUCUUGUAGAGGGGGGUAGAGUUCCAGGUGUAGCGGUGAAAUGCGUAGAGAUCUGGAGGAAUACCGGUGGCGAAGGCGGCCCCCUGGACAAAGACUGACGCUCAGGUGCGAAAGCGUGGUGAGCAAACAGG